CUAGCACCCAGGACAGGGUUGGACUCAAGGGAAGGGAAACCUUGGUGAAGAAACUCAAAGGAAGGGACUAAACCUCAGCUGUCUGUCCAGCUAAUCUGAAGCCAAGGAGGGGAUGGCACCUGCCCAAGUCACGUAACAAGUCCGGGUGAGAGGUAGGCUAGAGGUCUGCAUGGCUGGUGGGUACAGAAGAGGCCGGGCCCAGCUGCUCCCCUGGACCUCGGAGACACCACCACAACGGGGCUGGUUGCACAGGCUAGGAGCCAUUCUUUCCGAGGAGCUGUUCCCGACCACCUGCGCCCAGCUCACCAGGCUCCCACGUUGGUCACGGCCUUGCUCUCGGAACAACACUGUGAACUCUGAAUUCCGCGGGACACAGACCCCAUCUGUCCUGUUUAUCAUAGUGUCUGUGUGUUCAGCGCAAGCUGGAAAUACAGGU